AGUCCUCCCUCCAGCCUGCCUCUUUCUCCUCCUUUCCUUCCUCUCCUCUGCUCUCCAAAUUUCACUGCCACCACCACCCGUGUAUAUGAUAUGAGAGCCUCCUCGUCUUCUUCGCCCUUUUAUUUUUCCUUCUCUUCUCUUAGAUCUCUGCCACCCAUUUGCUGUUUAGUGAAGAGUCUUAAAAGAGAGAAUUUUGGGGUAAAAGAUUGAUUUGUUAUGGCUGUCUGUCUGGGCAAUUUCUCAUAAAUUGGAAGUGAAUUUUGGGAGAUUGAAUGUAUGUUUACUACGACUAUUACAUCCUAUUGUCCGGGUAUUCAUUGGCUUACAAGGAAAUUUCUCCCCUCUAAUUACGUAAUUAAUUUGGCAUGGUGUAGUGCACUUAUUAUACUUGACUAGUAUUGAUUGUAUGUAGUUUAAAUAUAAUUGUUUCAAUGUUCCUAAUCUAUGAGAUUGGUGCAGUGUUUUGGUUGGCUGAAGAUACAUCUACAGUUACAAAAAGCAAGUUUUUGUGGAAAGGGAACAAACAAGACACAACAAAACUCCGGACUCUCAAAAAAUUGGAGACGAAGAAGAUGGAGAAGAAAAAUGAAACAAUCAAAAGGGCUGAGAAGUUAGUUGAAACCAUGAUGAAAGGAAAUGACGCUUCCCAUGAUGCAGCUCACGCUUUCAGAGUUAGAGAUUUGGCUCUCUCUCUAGCGCAUGAAGAAGGGCUUCAUCAGUCCUCUGACUCAAUGCAGAUUGUGGAGCUGGCUGCACUUCUCCAUGACAUUGGGGACUACAAAUACAAGAGAGAUCCAUCAGAGGAGAAGAUUGUUGAAGAAUUUCUGGAGGGUGAGGGUGUGGACGACAGCAAGAAGAUGAAGAUAUUAAGUAUCAUAAACAGAAUGGAGCAAAUUUCUGGCUGUUACUUCCUCCCGUCAGUCCAACCAUGAAGAGAAAAGUUACUGGGCUGACUAAAUGUAUUUGACUGGUUCACAUACUUGCGCCAAUGAAGGUUUUAAAGAGGAGCUUCAAGGGCUUCAAGUUGGAAAUGAUGCACUAGAAUUUGGAGUUGUGCAAGAUGCUGAUCGACUUGAUGCUAUUGGCGCUAUUGGUAUUGCUCGUUGUUUUACAUUUGGAGGCAGCAGGCACAGAGUCCUGCAUGACCCUAGCAUUCUACCUCGAUCAGAUUUGUCAAGGGAGCAAUACAUGAAGAAAGAGGAGCAGACAACCGUGAAUCAUUUUCAUGAGAAGCUUCUAAAAUUAAAGGACUUAAUGAAAACAAAGGCUGGGCAGAGAAGGGCUCAAAGGAGGCAUAAAUUCAUGGAACAAUUUUUGGAAGAGUUCUAUGAAGAGUGGGAUGGAAGAGCAUGAAUAAGAAAGCAAAAAAUUUUCGAAAUGCUCACUGGACCAGUGGGGUGGCCAAGAGACUGUUGGAUGUUGUUGGAUCACUGAAAUUUGUUCAAAUAAAGUCAGUGUAGGAAGGAAAACUUCUGGUGAAAAGACGGUAAAUUUUUUACUGCUAUUGGAAUAAAAGGGAGGUCUAGUCUUGUUGCUGUUGAAUCGUUGAUAAGGCAUAAUUUCUAAAUAAUCUAUGAGGUUAAUCAAGUGCUGGACUGGACUUGUAUCUCUUUGUUUCUUUUGGUGGAUCCACUGUUCCCAUUGGUCUAUGGCUUUUCUUAGAUACUAGCACAAAUAACAGAAACUUUUGAUGAUAUUAUGCUUAUUUGGCUAA